rnacentral:rRNA from 1 species
GAUGAACGCUGGCGGCGUGUCUAAUACAUGCAAGUCGAGCGAACGGACGAGAAGCUUGCUUCUCUGAUGUUAGCGGCGGACGGGUGAGUAACACGUGGAUAACCUACCUAUAAGACUGGGAUAACUUCGGGAAACCGGAGCUAAUACCGGAUAAUAUUUUGAACCGCAUGGUUCAAAAGUGAAAGACGGUCUUGCUGUCACUUAUAGAUGGAUCCGCGCUGCAUUAGCUAGUUGGUAAGGUAACGGCUUACCAAGGCAACGAUGCAUAGCCGACCUGAGAGGGUGAUCGGCCACACUGGAACUGAGACACGGUCCAGACUCCUACGGGAGGCAGCAGUAGGGAAUCUUCCGCAAUGGGCGAAAGCCUGACGGAGCAACGCCGCGUGAGUGAUGAAGGUCUUCGGAUCGUAAAACUCUGUUAUUAGGGAAGAACAUAUGUGUAAGUAACUGUGCACAUCUUGACGGUACCUAAUCAGAAAGCCACGGCUAACUACGUGCCAGCAGCCGCGGUAAUACGUAGGUGGCAAGCGUUAUCCGGAAUUAUUGGGCGUAAAGCGCGCGUAGGCGGUUUUUUAAGUCUGAUGUGAAAGCCCACGGCUCAACCGUGGAGGGUCAUUGGAAACUGGAAAACUUGAGUGCAGAAGAGGAAAGUGGAAUUCCAUGUGUAGCGGUGAAAUGCGCAGAGAUAUGGAGGAACACCAGUGGCGAAGGCGACUUUCUGGUCUGUAACUGACGCUGAUGUGCGAAAGCGUGGGGAUCAAACAGGAUUAGAUACCCUGGUAGUCCACGCCGUAAACGAUGAGUGCUAAGUGUUAGGGGGUUUCCGCCCCUUAGUGCUGCAGCUAACGCAUUAAGCACUCCGCCUGGGGAGUACGACCGCAAGGUUGAAACUCAAAGGAAUUGACGGGGACCCGCACAAGCGGUGGAGCAUGUGGUUUAAUUCGAAGCAACGCGAAGAACCUUACCAAAUCUUGACAUCCUUUGACAACUCUAGAGAUAGAGCUUUCCCCUUCGGGGGACAAAGUGACAGGUGGUGCAUGGUUGUCGUCAGCUCGUGUCGUGAGAUGUUGGGUUAAGUCCCGCAACGAGCGCAACCCUUAAGCUUAGUUGCCAUCAUUAAGUUGGGCACUCUAAGUUGACUGCCGGUGACAAACCGGAGGAAGGUGGGGAUGACGUCAAAUCAUCAUGCCCCUUAUGAUUUGGGCUACACACGUGCUACAAUGGACAAUACAAAGGGCAGCGAAACCGUGAGGUCAAGCAAAUCCCAUAAAGUUGUUCUCAGUUCGGAUUGUAGUCUGCAACUCGACUACAUGAAGCUGGAAUCGCUAGUAAUCGUAGAUCAGCAUGCUACGGUGAAUACGUUCCCGGGUCU